GAUGAACGCUGGCGGCGUGCUUAACACAUGCAAGUCGAACGGGAUCCAAGGGGUGCUUGCACUUUUUGGUGAGAGUGGCGAACGGGUGAGUAACACGUGAGUAACCUGUCCUUUUCUUUGGGAUAAGCAUUCGAAAGGGUGUUUAAUACCUAUUUUCUUUCUUCCUUCCAUUGGGUGGGGUGGGAAAGGUUUGGGCGGGUUUGGGUUGGCUCGCGGUCUAUCAGCUUGUUGGUUGGGUGAUGGCUUACCAAGGCUUUGACGGGUAGCCGGCCUGAGAGGGUGGUCGGUCACAUUGGGACUGAGAUACGGCCCAGACUCCUGCGGGAGGCAGCAGUGGGGGAUAUUGCACAAUGGGCGAAAGCCUGAUGCAGCGACGCCGCGUGGGGGAUGAAGGCCUUCGGGUUGUAAACUUCUUUUGCUCUGAACAAGGCAUGCCAGUGGGUGUGUUGAGUGUAGGGGUUGAUUAGCGCCGGCUAACUACGUG
rnacentral:rRNA from 1 species